ACGCUCGACACCUACGAGAGGCAGCAGUGGGGAAUAUUGCACAAUGGGGGAAACCCUGAUGCAGCGACGCCGCGUGGAGGAAGAAGGUCUUCGGAUUGUAAACUCCUGUUGUUGGGGAAAAAGAGGAUGGUACCCAACAAGGAAGUGACGGCUAACUACGUGCCAGCAGCAGCGGUAAUCUGAGCGGGCUGGCAAGGC
rnacentral:rRNA from 1 species